rnacentral:rRNA from 1 species
GAUGAACGCUAGCUACAGGCUUAACACAUGCAAGUCGAGGGGCAGCAUUUCAGUUUGCUUGCAAACUGGAGAUGGCGACCGGCGCACGGGUGAGUAACACGUAUCCAACCUGCCGAUAACUCGGGGAUAGCCUUUCGAAAGAAAGAUUAAUACCCGAUGGUAUAAUCAGACCGCAUGGUUUGAUUAUUAAAGAAUUUCGGUUAUCGAUGGGGAUGCGUUCCAUUAGGCAGUUGGUGAGGUAACGGCUCACCAAACCUUCGAUGGAUAGGGGUUCUGAGAGGAAGGUCCCCCACAUUGGAACUGAGACACGGUCCAA